CUGUGAUCACGAUGUUUUUGUCUGCUCCAGAGGUGAGUUCGCACGACUCUGGGUCAGACGAAACAUCUCAGAUCAACG
rnacentral:pre_miRNA from 2 species